UUUUAAAUUUUUGGUAAUGGUAUUUACAAAGGUACACAGGGGCAGGGUUUUCACUUCUAGCCGGCGGCUGUCAAUUUUGUCGUCUGAAGAUUUUUGCAGGAGUGCAGCGGGACUGGAAAGAGCAACAACAAAAGACCACAAUAUGUUUGUGCUUGUGGUGGAGGCCUCACCACCAACAGAGAGGGAAAAUUCAAGCCAGGAAAAGGUGGGAGAGGAGAGCACCGAAUACAGAAUCUCCCACAAAAUGCGGCAACAGGCGGAAGAAUAAAUAUAAUGAUGACUUUG